GGUAGUAUAGUGGUGAGUAUCCGCGCCUGUCACGUGCGAGACCGGGGUUCGAUUCCCCGCC
rfam:Strongyloides stercoralis strain PV0001 genome assembly, scaffold: SSTP_contig0000029